UGGGGAGUUGCUCUAUGUCAAGGAGAGAAAGAUGAAGCUCAAGGAAGCAUGGGUUUAAAGAAAGGAAAUGGGAAAUUCAAAGGAAAUUCACCACUCAAGAACUCUAGUAGGUCACGCGCUAUUGCCUGCCUGAUUGUGAUCUGUCUGAUCUGCUUGUGCAACUAUCUGUGACCAGAAGCAUGACCAAGCUUAGAGGCCUCUGCCUGGAAUCAGUUCUUGACAGCCAACCUAUGUGCCUCCCGUGGAGGUUCCGGUCAUGACUAGUGGUUAUGGCUAAGUGCAUAAGUAGAAGUUU